rnacentral:rRNA from 1 species
UGGUGACAAUAGCCUUGUGGAACCACCUGAUCCCAUCCCGAACUCAGCAGUGAAACGCAAACGCGCCGAUGGUAGUGUGGGGUCUCCCCAUGUGAGAGUAGGUCAUCGCCAAGCG